AGAGUUUGAUCAUGGCUCAGGACGAACGCUGGCGGCAUGCCUAACACAUGCAAGUCGAACGAUGCUUUCGGGCAUAGUGGCGCACGGGUGCGUAACGCGUGGGAAUCUGCCCUUUGGUCUGGGAUAACUGUUGGAAACGACAGCUAAUACCGGAUGAUGACGUAAGUCCAAAGAUUUAUCGCCAGAGGAUGAGCCCGCGUCGGAUUAGCUAGUUGGUGGGGUAAAGGCCUACCAAGGCGACGAUCCGUAGCUGGUCUGAGAGGAUGAUCAGCCACACUGGGACUGAGACACGGCCCAGACUCCUACGGGAGGCAGCAGUGGGGAAUAUUGGACAAUGGGCGAAAGCCUGAUCCAGCAAUGCCGCGUGAGUGAUGAAGGCCUUAGGGUUGUAAAGCUCUUUUACCCGGGAUGAUAAUGACAGUACCGGGAGAAUAAGCUCCGGCUAACUCCGUGCCAGCAGCCGCGGUAAUACGGAGGGAGCUAGCGUUGUUCGGAAUUACUGGGCGUAAAGCGCACGUAGGCGGCUUUGUAAGUUAGAGGUGAAAGCCUGGAGCUCAACUCCAGAACUGCCUUUGAUACUGCAUGGCUUGAAUCCAGGAGAGGUGAGUGGAAUUCCGAGUGUAGAGGUGAAAUUCGUAGAUAUUCGGAAGAACACCAGUGGCGAAGGCGGCUCACUGGACUGGUAUUGACGCUGAGGUGC
rnacentral:rRNA from 1 species